GCUCGACUCAAGCUUACACUCACACUCACCAGUCUGUUGGCUGUCCCAGCGCAGCUCAUGAUUUCUGUUCAGUAUGAGAAGGUUUGCUGAGCAUUUUACAUUUGUGUAGUCUUGUAGUGCAAUGAGGUCUCCACUGUAUACAGCAUGAAGUAGUACAGGGUCAGUGCAGAGCAAUGGUGGUUGCUGUACAGGUUUGGCAGAGCAUUUCACAUACACAGGAAGUCUCGUCGACCGGUAACUCAGUUUCUUCUGGAUUUGCCACUGCUCUAACUUCUCUGCUUCUAAUUGAAGAGACCGCAAAGCACUGGACGAAAAGGGAAACCUAUAGGACGACAUAUUCUGUGAUAUUCUACUACCUCUAUGGCCCCCAAUAUCUACUAGAUAUCUAUUUUAACAAGAGACCUGUUCUCUGAUACACCCCCUAACACUCCAAGCCUACUAAGAAAAAAAAGCUCUCCCAGUCUCUACUUAGGGACAAUCCUGGGUCACUUAGAGAUCUCCCAGUAAUUAGAUUUGGGACAAUCCCGGAUCUCUCAGAGCUCUCCCAGUCUCUAUAUUGGGGACAAUCCCGGGUCACUUGGAGCUCUCCCACUCUCUAUAUUGAGGACAAUCCCAGGUCACGCAGAGCUCUCCCAGUCUCUAUAUUAGGGACAAUCCCAAGUCACCCAGAGCUCUCCCAGUCUCUAUAUUAGGGACAUUCCCGGGUCACUCAGAGCUCUCCCAGUCUCUAUAUUAGGGACAAUCACAGGUCACUUAGAGCUCUCCCAGUCUCAAUAUUAGGGACAAUACCGGGUCACUCAGAGCUCUCCCAGUCUCUAUAUUGGGGACAAUCCCAGGUUACUCAGAGCUCUCCCACUCUCUAUAUUAGGGAUCUCUAUAUUGCAUCAGACUUGCUCUGUAUUAGAUUGACUGACAGCUCAAGACUGUUGCAGGUUCGUAUUAGGGACCCUUGAAGGACUUUGAAAUGUUUUGUAUUAGGGUGCUACCCUUACAGUCAGUCUCUGGCUUGCAGCCUGUCUCUUCUUUGGUUAGCUGUUGCUCAUGCCCCUAGCUGUCUGUCUUUGGCUUGCCAUUCUUGGCUGACUGUCUGUCAUUCCACUAGCUUGCCACCUCUAGCAUUCUUGGCUUGCAGUCUCUCGCACCCCUUGCUUUUUCAGUCUAGUUAGUUGUGUCUUGCUUGUCUGACUGGCUCUGGCCCCUAGUUGGCUGACUAUCUUACUUGGCUAAGUCUCUCACACACUGUCUCUUGCUCCCCUGUCUCAGACUGUCUGUCUCACUUUUCUAUGGAUUGCAGUCCCACCCCUUCUUGGCUUUCUCUCUUCUCCCCUGACUGUUUCAGACUGGCUGUCUCUUGCUCUCCUUGCUGGCUGGUGAUAUCUGACUGACUGCCUCUCCUUUCUAUGGAUGUCCACCUAACUCUUGGAUGGCUGAUUCAGGCUGGAUGUCUCCCCUGACCUGCUAUCUGUUUCAGGGUGACUGUCAGUCUGAGAUUGUUGUUUCUUACUCCCCUUACUGGCUAGUUAUAUCUGACUGUCUCUUGGUUCCCUGAAUAACUGUCUCAAGUCGGCUAGGUCUUUCUUUUCUUGCAGACUGUCUGACUCCUCUGGCUGGUCAUCUAGGGCUGGCUGGCGCUUGCUGCUGUCUCUCUCUCCCUCUCUGUAGUGCCUGACAGCCUGCCACUCUCCUCUGAGUGCCUGACUCAGGCUGUCUCUCUCUCUCCUCGGGGUGUAUAACUCAGGCUGUCUCUCUCUCUCCUUGGAGUGUAUAACUCAGGCUGUCUCUCUCUCUCUCUCCUUGGAGUGUAUAACUCAGGCUGUCUCUCUCUCUCUCCUCAGAGUGUAUAACUCAGGCUGUCUCUCUCUCUCCUUGGAGUGUAUAACUCAGGCUGUCUCUCUCUCUCCUCAGAGUGUAUAACUCAGGCUCUCUCUCUCUCUCCUCAGAGUGUAUAACUCAGGCUCUCUCUCUCUCUCCUCAGAGUGUAUAACUCAGGCUGUCUCUCUCUCUCUCCUCAGAGUGUAUAACUCAGGCUCUCUCUCUCUCUCCUCGGAUUGUAUAACUCAGGCUCUCUCUCUCUCUCUCCUCGAAUUGCCUGGCUCAGGCUGUCUCUCUUCC
rnacentral:lncRNA from 1 species